rnacentral:rRNA from 1 species
GAUCAUGGCUCAGGACGAACGCUGGCGGCGUGCCUAAUACAUGCAAGUUGAGCGCUGAAGGUUGGUACUUGUACCGACUGGAUGAGCAGCGAACGGGUGAGUAACGCGUGGGGAAUCUGCAUUUGAGCGGGGGACAACAUUUGGAAACGAAUGCUAAUACCGCAUAAAAACUUUAAACACAAGUUUUAAGUUUGAAAGAUGCAAUUGCAUCACUCAAAGAUGAUCCCGCGUUGUAUUAG